rnacentral:rRNA from 1 species
AUACGGAGGGGGCUAGCGUUGUUCGGAAUUACUGGGCGUAAAGCGCGCGUAGGCGGGUUGGCAAGUUGAAGGUGAAAUCCCAGGGCUCAACCCUGGAACUGCCUCCAAAACUGCCAGUCUUGAGUUCGGAAGAGGUGAGUGGAAUUCCUAGUGUAGAGGUGAAAUUCGUAGAUAUUAGGAAGAACACCAGUGGAGAAGGCGACUCACUGGUCUGAUACUGACGCUGAGGUGCGAAAGCGUGGGGACCAAACAGGAUUAGAAACCCCAGUAGUCC